CCUACGGGUGGCAGCAGUGAGGAAUAUUGGUCAAUGGGCGCGAGCCUGAACCAGCCAAGUCGCGUGAGGGAAGACGGCCCUACGGGUUGUAAACCUCUUUUGCCGGGGAGCAACUGGCGCCACGUGUGGCGCCACUGAGAGUACCCGGCGAACAAGCAUCGGCUAACUCCGUGCCAGCAGCCGCGGUAAUACGGAGGGUGCGAGCGUUAGUCGGAAUUAUUUGGUUUAAAGGGUGCGUAGGCGGGGGCUUAAGUUCGUUGUCAAAUUUAGGGGGCUCAACCCCGUCCCGCCUGGGAAACUGGCGCUCUUGAGUGGAAGAGAAGAAUGCGGAAUGCGUGGUGUAGCGGUGAAAUGCGUAGAUAUCACGCAGAACCCCGAUUGCGAAGGCAGCAUGCCGGCUUCCAACUGACGCUGAGGCACGAAAGCGUGGGGAUCGAACAGGAUUAGUUACCCUGGUAGUC
rnacentral:rRNA from 1 species